AUGCACCCCAUCCGCCCACCUGAGCGCUCCCUCGCCAAGCAGCAGAAGACGGCCAAGUUGAGGGUGACUUCACAGACUGGUGCUAAAGAGAUCGCGAUGGGGGCACAAGAAAUAAGUCCUUCUGCACCAGGCGCUGACGGCCGCCGCCAGAUCAGAACCCUUCCUGACCAAUCGCAUUGCCGGGGCACUUCAGAUUCGCUCCCCAAAUCGGAACCUUUACGAACCUCACUUCCAAAAUCCAAAUACGUUCUGUCCAUCAUCGAACGCAAAGCCAAGCCCCCAAACAUCAAAGAAAAAAAAAGAUCCUUA